ACGAGGACGUGUGAGCAGGCGUGCUACAGCCGCAUGCACCAGCUGCCAGAGGAGUUGGGGUCACGGAAGAAACGAUGGUGUUUGGUGGAGCAGAGGGAAAUCCGAUCUGGUGAGGGUUCUGCUGAUUGGGGUCGAGCUGGAACGGCUGAAUCCGUAGGAGCUCGACGGGGAAGAAGGGGAGGGCGCUGGCUUGGGCGGCGUGUGGAUCAGGGGCACAGCGCAGCCACUAGGGUGCCAUGGCUGGGCGGUGAGGCGCCACUGGAGAAGCGGAGGGAGGAGCAGAGUGGGAUUGGGCCGGCCAGGGAAAUUUUU
rnacentral:misc_RNA from 1 species